CACCGUAUGUUUUCAGCUGCACGGCCUUGUGCAAUGUCGUCUGAAUUCUAUCAUAUUUCACCAAAGCAACACAAAGUUCUUUAAUAAAAUUAGUUCUCUUGUUGACAAAUGGAUUUAUAACUGGCUUCGUAGGUAGUCUUCGUCGUGCUGCAGACUUGACAGCGUUUCGCGUAGGUAUAAAUGACUGCUGUAAAAUGCCAGCAAAAAGUUUGCAACUUGAGAAUGUUGAAAACACGCUUCUAGACAUCGCCAUAUUGGAAAAUGCAGCUCG
rnacentral:lncRNA from 1 species